AUGGGGACAACAUUCCGAAAGGAAUGCUAAUACCGAAUGAAGUGCAGGGGAGGCAUCUCCCCUGCAUGAAAGAUGGCCUCUAUAUAUAAGCUAUCACCUGUUGAUGGGUCUGCGUCUGAUUAGCUGGUAGGUGAGGUAACGGCUCACCUAGGCGACGAUCAGUAGCCGGUCUGAGAGGAUGAACGGCCACAUUGGGACUGAGACACGGCCCAG
rnacentral:rRNA from 1 species